rnacentral:rRNA from 1 species
GACGAACGCUGGCGGCGUGCUUAACACAUGCAAGUCGAACGGAAAGGCCCUGCUGUUGUGGGGUGCUCGAGUGGCGAACGGGUGAGUAACACGUGAGUAACCUGCCCGUGACUUUGGGAUAACCUCAGGAAACUGGGGCUAAUACCGGAUAGAAGCUCCUGCUGCAUGGUGGGGGUGGGAAAGUUUCGGCGGUUGGGGAUGGACUCGGGGCUUAUCAGCUUGGUGGUGGGGUAGUGGCUUACCAAGGCUUUGACGGGUAGCCGGACUGAGAGGGUGACCGGCCACAUUGUGCUUGGGAUACGACCCAGACUCCUACGGGAGGCAGCGGUGGGAAACAUUGCACAAUGCGCGGAAGCCUGAUGCAGCAACGCCGCGUGCGGGAUGACGGCCUUCGGGUUGUAAACCGCUUUCGCCUGUGACGAAGCGUGAGUGACGGUAAUGGGUAAGGAAGCACCGGCUAACUACGUG